GCCAGAUAUGCGCUCCUGUGUUAGUAGUAUUGGCUGUAUGCCGUUAGUUCUUUCUAGAUCUUUGUUGAAACAUAUAUAAGUUUGAUCAUUUAGUGAAAUAAAUGGAAUCUUGUACAGAUAGCUUGAGCGCUUAAUUCAGUCGCCGCAGCAAAGCACAGAC